UACGUAGGGUGCAAGCGUUAAUCGGAAUUACUGGGCGUAAAGCGUGCGCAGGCGGUUGGGCAAGACAGAUGUGAAAUCCCCGGGCUUAACCUGGGAACUGCAUUUGUGACUGCACGGCUAGAGUGUGUCAGAGGGGGGUAGAAUUCCACGUGUAGCAGUGAAAUGCGUAGAUAUGUGGAGGAACACCGAUGGCGAAGGCAAUCCCCUGGGCCUGCACUGACGCUCAUGCACGAAAGCGUGGGGAGCAAACAGG
rnacentral:rRNA from 1 species